rnacentral:pre_miRNA from 1 species
UGGCAAGAUGUUGGCAUAGCCGAAAACUUUACACGGCUAUUCCACACCGUGCCAGU